rnacentral:rRNA from 1 species
UACGGAGGUGGCAAGCGUUGCUCGGAAUCACUGGGCGUAAAGGGCGCGUAGGCGGGGAGGUAAGUCGGGUGUGAAAUCCCUCGGCCCAACUGAGGAACUGCGCCCGAGACUGCUUCUCUUGAGUCCCGGAGAGGAAGAUGGAAUUCCCGGUGUAGCGGUGAAAUGUGUAGAGAUCGUAAGGAAGACCAGUGGCGAAGGCGAGUCUCUGGACAGUUACCGACGCUGAGGCACGAAGGCCAGGGGAGCAAACGGG